rnacentral:rRNA from 1 species
UUAGUGGCGGACGGGUGAGUAACGCGUGGGUAACCUGCCGUAUACAGGGGGAUAACACUUAGAAAUAGGUGCUAAAACCGCAUAAGCGCACAGCGCCGCAUGGCGCAGUGUGAAAAACUCCGGUGGUAUACGAUGGACCCGCGUCUGAUUAGCCAGUUGGCAGGGUAACGGCCUACCAAGGCGACGAUCAGUAGCCGGCCUGAGAGGGUGGACGGCCACAUUGGGACUGAGACACGGCCCAAACUCCUACGGAAGGCAGCAG